rnacentral:rRNA from 1 species
AAUCAACGCUGGCGGCGUGCCUCAGACAUGCAAGUCGAACGCGAAAUUUCCCUUCGGGGAGAAAGUAGAGUGGCGCACGGGUGAGUAACACGUAGGUAAUUUGCCUUUGGGUGGGAUAACUCAGGGAAACUUGAGCUAAUACCGCAUAAUGCAGCGGCUCGACAUCGAGACAGUUGUUAAAGCGGGGGAGUUGGAGCAAUCCGACCUCGCGCCUAAAGAGAAGCCUGCGGCAGAUUAGCUAGUUGGUAAGGUAAUGGCUUACCAAGGCGACGAUCUGUAACCGGCCUGAGAGGGCGGGUCGGUCACACUGACACUGACAUACGGGUCAGACUCCUACGGGAGGCAGCAGUCGGGAA